CGAGUCCACGUUCUCAGUGCUCACACCUGGAGAGACACACACACACACACGUCAGUAUGUUCAUGUCAGAGGAGAAAACUGAUCUGCAGAGGAUGGACGAUGAGUUUCUGGAAAUAUCUGACGUAGCCGCAGGGCAGCAGCUCGGGUGUGUGGGCGGCGCUGAGGCUGCUGUGCCGGUGGAUUUCUCCGAUGUUGUAUCCCUCCACACUGUCUGAGCUCAGGCCCAGCUGGCUCACAGGGUCCACGUGGCUCGUUUACCUUGAAAAGGCGUCGGACCACUCCGUCCAGAACAUCCCACUUGGUUUUACCACUCACACCGAUGCAGCCAAUCAGAAAGUGGCGUGGCCGGCCCUCCUGCGAUUGAAAAGCAUGACUGGUUUUAGAAACCAAGAAGCCGACAGGCUGACGACGAUCUUGACGUGUCUCCCCUCCUUCCUCAUCCCUCCCUCUCCGCCAGUGUCAUCCAGCAGCAUGUCUGACAGGAGGGAAGAGCGAGUUAG